rnacentral:rRNA from 1 species
AAAGCCUGUCUCAGUUCGGAUUGGAGUCUGCAACUCGACUCCAUGAAGCUGGAUUCGCUAGUAAUCGCGCAUCAGCCAUGGCGCGGUGAAUACGUUCCCGGGCCUUGUACACACCGCCCGUCAAGCCAUGGGAGGCCGGGGGUGCCUGAAGUACGUGACCGCGAGGAGCGUCCUAGGGCAAAACUGGUGACUGGGGCUAAGUCGUAACAAGGUAAC